rnacentral:lncRNA from 1 species
UUAUGCAGUGGACUCCUGAUGGAUAUGUCGUAAGUAGCAUGCCCACUCCAACAGCUGCAUCUCUUUCAUCUUCAACCUUGUAGGACCUUAUAUAUUCUAUUGAAUGUUCCGGUUUGACCUGUACAAUAUAUGUAAAAUGGCCAAUGGCUAGAGUAGAAAGCUACAUCACAGAAACAAGAAUAACAUGCAAAAUUUAUGUCAGCAGCAUGCUACGCAUACCCAAUUCAUGAUUUCCCAUAAAAUCUCUCCUGCAGGCUGUUGUCACAAUGUUCAACUACCAACAAUUCCGGCACAUUGGGGCACCUGGGUGGCAGCUUGGGUGGACAUGGGCAAAGAAGGAGGUCAUAUGGUCGAUGGUUGGGGCACAGACUACCGAACAGGGUGACUGUUCGAAGUUCAAGGGCAACACUCCCCACUGCUGCAAAAAAGAUCCCACGAUCGUCGAUUUACUUCCAGGCACUCCAUACAACAUGCAGAUUGCCAAUUGCUGCAAAGCAGGAGUUAUAAAUACAUUUAACCAGGACCCGGCAAAUGCUGCUGCCUCCUUCCAGAUUAGUGUAGGUCUUGCUGGGACUACCAAUAAGACUGUUAAGGUGCCGAAGAACUUCACUCUUAAGACUCCAGGUCCUGGGUACACAUGUGGGCGUGCCAUUGUUGGCAGGCCGACAAAGUUUUUCACCUCGGAUGGGCGCAGGGCAACCCAAGCUCUUAGUAAGUUGCUCAUCUAUUGGACUCUACAUUUUACUUGCUAUCAGUUGCUUGUGUACUUUGUGGAAAUGAGGUACAGCUAAAUCAUCGUAUUGUUCAGCGCGUUCCUAUUCCUUAAUCAGAAUUUCAGGUUACGUUACUUGCCAGAUUAGUUUUUUUCUCGAACAUGCAGGAGAGCUGCGUAUCUAUAUAUUAAGAAGUACUUGCCAGAUUAGUAAAAAAAUGAAAACGUUUUAACAGGAGGGAUUUAUUCUCAAAGAAGGAAUGCUAACUGAUAUCUUUGGACAAUAAGCUGCUGCUAGGCCCAAUAAAAUGUAGUCUUUUUUUUUGUUCUUCACAAAAUAAUAAAUUAAAAUUGCAGAUAGUUGUAGGAAAGUUUCCGAUUCCAUACAAGUUGCUGUUCUGCCAAAAUUUUAUUGUAGAGGUUUUUAUUUCACUUGAUGGUUCUUAAUAAAGACAUUCUCUAUCUGCAGUGACAUGGAAUGUGACUUGCACAUAUUCCCAAUUUCUUGCUCAAAAGACUCCAUCCUGCUGUGUCUCUCUUUCAUCAUUUUACAAUGACACAAUUGUGAACUGCCCAACAUGCUCUUGUGGCUGCCAAAAUCCAAAUGGGUCAAACUGUGUGAAGUGAGUUUACGUACUUUUUACUCUUAAUACACUUCAUACUAAGGUUCUAUUUUGUCUUUAUAAAUGUCUAAUGAGUAUGGUUUCAUUUUCACAGUGAGGAUUCACCUAAUCUACAAUCUGCAAUUGAUGGCCCUGGAAAAUGGACUGGUCAGCCUCUUGUACAAUGCACUUCCCACAUGUGCCCGAUAAGAAUCCACUGGCAUGUGAAGCUCAACUACAAGGAAUACUGGAGAGUGAAAAUCACUAUCACCAACUUCAACUUCCGCAUGAAUUACACGCAGUGGAACUUAGUCGCUCAGCAUCCAAACUUUGAUAAUAUCACUCAGCUGUUCAGCUUCAACUACAAACCACUUACCCCAUAUGGCAGUGGCAUAAGUAAGAAACUUGUCUUCUUUUCAAAAAAAGAAAUCAAAAUAAUCUCCUUCCCUCCCCUGAUGUUGUUUGCUUGUCCCAUUUUCAGAUGAUACGGCUAUGUUCUGGGGUGUAAAAUUCUACAAUGAUUUGCUGAUGCAAGCUGGUAAACUUGGGAAUGUGCAAUCAGAACUACUUCUCCGCAAGGACUCCCAGACUUUCACCUUCGAAAAGGGAUGGGCCUUCCCACGCCGAGUGUACUUCAAUGGUGACAACUGUGUCAUGCCAUCUCCUGAAAACUAUCCAUGGUUGCCCAACGCAAGCCCUCUAACAAAACAACCGCUGACCCUCCCACUUUUAGUAUUCUGGGUUGUGUUGGCUACUCUGUUGGCAUAUGCAUGAUGAGUGGGAUCAGGAGGUUUAGUGAGCUUCAAGUUGAUGUCAGAUUCCAUGAGGUGCACUGCAACGGGUCAUUUGUUCAUUCAAUUACAUGGUUGCACAGAAGAGAUGACACCACGCAGAGAAAAAAAGUUUAUGUGUGUGUGUUUUUGUAAGUUAAAGGGCCGAAAUGUAUUUCUUGUUUCGUAUAUACUGGCCCCACAACACUUAGUUACUGCAAACUAGGUAAUUACAGUUGCACCUUUUGUAUUUUAUAGCAAACUCAGAAUUUUUCAUUGGAUUAUAUGACCUCUUCUUGUAGUAAAUGCGCGGUUUUCGUUUUGUAAGAUUUGUUGAACAGAAAAGACAAUGAUGAUUGAGAUCACUAAGUUCUGGCAUCUUAAUUCAUUCCUGCUGCUCACUGAGCUUUUUGAGCUAAAUAGAUAACAUCUACUAAUGGUCAUUUUCACUGAACCAAAAGAGCAAGAACACAGAACAAGAAUAAUUGCAACACUGGGUUUAUUUACUACAGAAACUGCAAACCGCAAUCAUGAAUUGGCGCUCAUGUUAAUUUGCAGCAUCAAUUAAGAUGAUCUAUGACUGUGAAUCGUAAAAUGACCUAUCAAUAAAAGGAUGAUGUAAAUCCUAGUUGGCCUGGGAACUCCUAGGAGCCUGCUUAGUUGCUGUGCCUUGUCACAUACCAAAUGCUUAGGAAGCAGUUCUGAGCCGCUGAGAAGAAUAGCAAAAGGAUAGUUUGCUGAUAGUUGUGGCUUGUGGGCUACUGCCUAGUUGAAGAAUGGCCUGACAGGACAGGUGCUAUAUAAUUGUGUACACAACAUAUAUCCUUGAUACUGAAGUUCUAACCAGGAGCUGGAAGCAACGGAAGUACAGAACUGCAGAUUCAAUAAUAGAUCUAACCAGAGCAAAGAGCAACACUCAAACUUAUAACAGAACCACAACAAUGAAAUAUUUUAAUACCUGCAAAAUACAUCUCAUAAUCUUAUGAGCAACAAACGAAUUCAUCGAAACAACUCACUUUAUAUUCGAUGCAGUUGGAUUGCUCUGAACCCACUCUGAAGAAACAUGGCCUUCUGUGAAGGAAACCAAAGCUUUUGGCUUGUGCCCAGCCUCAUCGUGCUAGUGCUCUGAAGCCUCAGAGAGUCAGAGAUCAGAGGAGGGCAUAUGCCACCAUGACCUGGUAUAUAUAUCCAG